rnacentral:rRNA from 1 species
UAGGGAAUCUUCGGCAAUGGACGAAAGUCUGACCGAGCAACGCCGCGUGAGUGAAGAAGGUUCUCGGAUCGUAAAACUCUGUUGGUAGAGAAGAACGUUGGUGAGAGUGGAAAGCUCAUCAAGUGACGGUAACUACCCAGAAAGGGACGGCUAACUACGUGCCAC